GAUGAACGCUGGCGGCGUGCCUAAUACAUGCAAGUCGAGCGAACAGACGAGGAGCUUGCUCCUCUGAUGUUAGCGGCGGAAGGGUGAGUAACACGUGGAUAACCUACCUAUAAGACUGGGAUAACUUCGGGAAACCGGAGCUAAUACCGGAUAACAUGAUAAACCGCAUGGUUCAACAGUGAAAGACGGUCUUGCUGUCACCUAUAGAUGGAUCCGCGCCGCAGUAGCUAGUUGGUAAGGUAACGGCUUACCAAGGCAACGAUGCGUAGCCGACCUGAGAGGGUGAUCGGCCACACUUGAACUGAGACACGGUCCAGACUCCUACGGGAGGCAGCAGUAGGGAAUCUUCCGCAAUGGGCGAAAGCCUGACGGAGCAACGCCGCGUGAGUGAAGAAGGUCUUCGGAUCGUAAAACUCUGUUAUUAGGGAAGAACAAAUGUGUAAGUAACUAUGCACGUCUUGACGGUACCUAAUCAGAAAGCCACGGCUAACUACGUG
rnacentral:rRNA from 1 species